UGGAGAGUUUGAUCCUGGCUCAGAUUGAACGCUGGCGGCAGGCCUAACACAUGCAAGUCGAGCGGAAACGAGUUAUCUGAACCUUCGGGGAACGAUAACGGCGUCGAGCGGCGGACGGGUGAGUAAUGCCUAGGAAAUUGCCCUGAUGUGGGGGAUAACCAUUGGAAACGAUGGCUAAUACCGCAUAAUGCCUACGGGCCAAAGAGGGGGACCUUCGGGCCUCUCGCGUCAGGAUAUGCCUAGGUGGGAUUAGCUAGUUGGUGAGGUAAUGGCUCACCAAGGCGACGAUCCCUAGCUGGUCUGAGAGGAUGAUCAGCCACACUGGAACUGAGACACGGUCCAGACUCCUACGGGAGGCAGCAGUGGGGAAUAUUGCACAAUGGGCGCAAGCCUGAUGCAGCCAUGCCGCGUGUGUGAAGAAGGCCUUCGGGUUGUAAAGCACUUUCAGUCGUGAGGAAGGUAGUGUAGUUAAUAGCUGCAUUACUUGACGUUAGCGACAGAAGAAGCACCGGCUAACUCCGUGCCAGCAGCCGCGGUA
rnacentral:rRNA from 1 species